UGCAAGGCGCGGCCGGGCGCGGGCGCGCUGGUGCGUGCGGGUGCGCUGGAGAAGGCGUGUGUAGGCAAAUGAGCCCAUUGUGUCCCUGCGUGUCCGCUCGUGUGCGUGUGAACAGAAAUCGGAAGGGGACAUCCUAACGGAGAAUUCCAAGUAGCCUGAAAGACAGCCCCAAGCCCCUGGACGGAAACCCCUAGAAUUUCUACUGGGUGUAUACUCUGGGUUAAUAUGUUGGUGCAAAAGUCAAGGAUGUGCAGAAGACAAAGACGAAUAAAAUGUGCCAGCCCUUCAAGGAGUUUGCCAUAGCCAACCGUUCAAGGAGUAAUGUUUAGCAACAGUUCAAGGAGGAAUGAUGCACUGUUCUGAGGCCACCAAGAUGAAGAAGACAAGGUCCAUGUCCUCAAGACGAUUAUAACACCUGAAAUGUUCUUUCCUAUUCAACCAGCUGACGAAUGGUGGAUUACUGGCCUCUUCCCUGAUGCGGCCAGGCUGUCCAACUUUGCUGCCGAAACGCCCCGUGAUCAGACAAAUUCAUCCACAACAAGCUACUUGAGUGGUACCUGAGAAAAUAGAGAGAACACGGACUUGAGAUGUGGAAGAUCCGGAACUGAGGCUUCUGAGGACCUUGGGCAAGUCUCUCCUCCAUAAAAUGAAGAGUAACAGGACAGUGCCUGUCCCCCAGAAAUUCCAGGAGGAUUCAUGAGGCAGCCCCUGGGAGAAGGCAGCCAGAACCCGGGGGCAAGGAGCCCUUCCUGACCUACGAGGGACUCAGAUGUCUGGCUCCCUCCUGCAUGGCCACGGAGACAGUUGCAGCUGCUGGAGAGGGAAAUUCAGCGCUUUAUCGCAGGACCACUACCUGGAAAUGGAAUAUUUCCCCCCACAAAUAGUCUGUUA